CCGUUACUGUUUGUUGAUCACAGUUGCUUGUACCUCUCAUGUGACACUAUUGGUUAAUUCGAACUUUGUGAAGUGUCCGAGGAAGAUGAUGGUCGAUCGAGACAAACAUGAAACAUGUAAAGCAGGAUCCCCCUCCCUUCGGCAUAUAUCGGCGCCCGCCACCGUCCAUAGCUGCUGAGUACACUGAAUCCACGAAGAGCCUAGGCCUAUCCGACCAAUGCUAGC
rnacentral:lncRNA from 1 species